AGGAAGGAUGCCAGAAAACAGCCGGCCAACACCUCAAAACCUACAUCACAUAGCUCCAAGACGAAGUUUCUCAAAGCAAUAGAAAGAGACAAGAUUUUGACAAGGAGCCUUGAGAAACUCGGACGGUCUCCAUUCAAAUCCUAGCCGGCCAAACAGUUAUCUAAACACCAAUGUGAACGUAACAAAUUUACGUAAUUUCCUCUUUUGACCUGGCAAUCGCAUUCUGCACCAUCUUUGCGAGUGAAGAUGAUGUUGGAGUGUGAAAACACAAAUCCAAGCUGGUCACAGGCCAGGGAAAGCAAUUUACCUGCUGACAGGCCUGGCAAAUGAAGGAGAGAGAAGCUGCCUUAACAAAGAUGGAGCUUAAAUUGAUUUAGGGGCAGCUGAUUAAAAGAGCCAGGAGCAUGGAGGGAACACUACUGCAGCCCUACCGCUGGUUUCUAAGAACUUCUAGAGGACGAUGGGGAGUAAACGCCUGGAGAAAUACAAGCUGCCUCUGACCUGUUGGACUCACUAAACAGAGAACAUCCCUGGUCAUCCCUACUGCCUCUGAUCUGUUGGACUCACUAAACACAUGCUUCAUUUCUAAAUUAUGUGUUGGAGUGCCCCUUGCUAUCUAUAAAGAAAUAAAGAAAAUGGUGCCAUCUGGUUUGCUUAAAAUAAGGAAUUUGAAAUGAUUUAUACUUUUACUUUUGAUACUUAAGUAU